rnacentral:rRNA from 1 species
ACUCCUACGGGAGGCAGCAGUGGGGAAUUUUGGACAAUGGGGGCAACCCUGAUCCAGCCAUGCCGCGUGAGUGAAGAAGGCCUUCGGGUUGUAAAGCUCUUUCGGCCGGGAAGAAAUCGUGCAGGCUAAUACCCUGUAUGGAUGACGGUACCGGAAUAAGAAGCACCGGCUAACUACGUGCCAGCAGCCGCGGUAAUACGUAGGGUGCGAGCGUUAAUCGGAAUUACUGGGCGUAAAGCGUGCGCAGGCGGUUUUGUAAGACAGGCGUGAAAUCCCCGGGCUCAACCUGGGAACUGCGCUUGUGACUGCAAGACUAGAGUACGGCAGAGGGGGGUGGAAUUCCACGUGUAGCAGUGAAAUGCGUAGAGAUGUGGAGGAACACCAAUGGCGAAGGCAGCCCCCUGGGUCGAUACUGACGCUCAUGCACGAAAGCGUGGGGAGCAAACAGGAUUAGAUACCCUGGUAGUC